GUCCAUUACAGAACUAAGAAGACAAAAAAGGUUCUUGUGGGGCAAGUGCUGUCAGUCAGGCCCUGCAUUGCCUGGUCUCUUUAGUGCUCUCUAGCUCUAGGUUUUCAACCUCCCUUUAACUAUUUUGGGUUCUGUCUUUCCCUAUGGUGGUGGGUCUCAGCCUGUGAGUCUUGACCCCUUAGCAAUUGUCUACGACCAUUGCAGACACAAAUGUCUACAAUAAAUGUAUAACCAUAGCAAAAUUACACGCAUGAAGUACCAAUGAGAAUAGUUUUAUGGUUGGGGGUCACCACAACAUGAAGAACCGUCUUAAAGGGUCUUAGCAUUGGGAAGGCUGAGAACCACUGCUCUAUGGAAACUUAUGGAAGUUACUCUGCCCCAAAAGUCACUUGGAUUAACCCUGGCCCCUUAGCCAUUCCAAAUAUGAGACUUGUGAUCAUUUUUACUCUGCCAUUUGAUCUUUUUAAUGUGCUCUCACAGGACAACUUGAGCAGAAUCUAAGAGAUUCCUUUAAUUACAAGGUGCAAAUGUCUGCUUGGCAUUAGAUUUGCUGUCUCUUUGGAAGGUGUGCCGCAUCUUUAGAAAAUCUGUAUCCUUUAUGCCUGCUGCUACCCCCAGAAUCUUAAGACAAGGGUAAGUUGUUUGAGAUAAGGAGUGCAGAUCCUUACAUUAAAGGUUCACUGAGUAGGCCCUGCUGAGUUUUAUGUGUAAGCAUUAGAACGUUUUAAUCAGUCUCCUUUCCUUCUGUAGGCUGGUGGGCUGACUCAAACUAAAGGAAACUGCAUGACCCCCUCCAGCAUUUUAAUAGCUUGGCUUGUCAUCUAUUAAGGAGCAAAUGGAAAUCGUAGGAGUGUAAUAGGAAAUGUUAUGGAUACGGGUGAUACAAGUAUAUGUGUUGCUUUAGGACAAGAAGGAAAGAACAUCUUUCCUUUUAGAUCAGCCUGACUGGUUGAUUUUUUUUUUAACAUUGCAUAGUGCUUUCAAGAGCUAACAUUCCAGGAAGCAUGUAUUGUAAGUAGGUAAAAACACCAGUUCUGCUCCAGUUUGUUGACAAGGCAUAAUCCUUUAUCUGCCCCCCAGCUCACUCUAAUUCUGAUUUCUCCUAUUUUGGAAUUUAUUGUAUGUCCAGUGUAUUUCAAGGCGGAAUUUAAGGGCUGUAAGAGAACCCACUCAUUUAGGACCCCUGAACAAUGUUGCAAAAUAUGGUUUUCUGUGGCCUAAUGCUAUGCGAUCAAGGGGCUAUCAACCAACAAUGGGGUAGCGUGGGAGAAAGAAAUGAUUUUUUUAAGCCAGGUUGUCUGUGUGUAGCUUUGGCUCUCCUCAAAUUCACAAGCUUCUGCCUUGCUGUGCCUCCUAAGUCUGCCUCGUGAGUGUUGAGGUGUGUGCCACCACACCUAACUUCAAACAUUCUCUUAACAUGAAUAGGAAAAAGGUUUUGUAACACAAGUUGCCCAGCUUAUCAGGUGUGUUUGAAAAUGUGAUAGGUCAGCUCUCCAGCCACUGGAGUAAUUGAUAACAAUGACUGUCGCUAAGCAGAAAUGGGCAGUUUUUCUGUUUCUUUAGCUUGGAGCCUGUUCAGCACGCUCAUGGACCCUCAUCUUUCUAUCAUCCCCUUCUCUUUUGGAGAUUCAACUCUCAGGGCACACUUUUUAUCCCUUAGUCCUACACUAUUCUAGAACUCAUUUAGCACAGGCCCACUUGUGAAGUGUUGAGAUUAAACUUGUCAGCCAUCACUCACAGUCUAGCAACAUGACUAAGCACGUAUUUUCUUUCUCUUUAUAUUUAAGGAUAUAAUUUUCAAAAGUUAAUGUAAGAAAGGUUUCCUUAAUAUCACAUCUAUAUUCCCCUGGUCAGGGAAGCCGGUUUUCUUCAGAGAAAAUUUGAUUGCUAGAAAAACUAGUACCUUAUUUGUUCCUUGGGAGUAAAAUACUAUGUAAUGAAACUCAUUAGUAACUUGGGUGUCCUGGUGAUACUACAAUUUUCUUGCUAAGAAACUACAGAAGGUGCCUCUGGUUUGCUGUCGUUCCCAUUAGAGUAAGACCCAGAGGUGUCCACGUAGAUGCUAUUAUCUGUGUUUCUUUUUGAGACUGCCUGUCUUCAGCCUUUUAAAUUGGUGUUUUAGUAUGCAUUCUGCGUUUGACCUUUGACUGGAUAUGUGAACAUGAUAGUGUGAUAAUUCCGAGUUUGUGGCCAGCAAGGAGCUCCUGUGCAUUAACCUCUAGAAUGUUGAAAGAGUAAUGAAGAGAAGAAAGAAAGACCUCUCUUGUCAUCAGGAGGGGGGAUGAGCCUGAAUGCAGUAGUGCUCUUUGUCUACCAAGAAAAGUAAAUGUUUUUAUGGCUGUUACAUAUAAUGACUGCACACAAUAUUCAGUUUGGACCUUGCAGGUGAGGUACUUAGAUAUGCCUAUUUUUUAUUGUCUUGAAUGCUUUCAUUGCACUUACACAAAUCCCAGUGUCACUACAUAUAGAAGAGUGAUUCGUGUGGAUUUGAGAUUGAGAAGUAGCACUGUUAAACUGAUUGCUUCAAGUUGUCCUUUGGCUCACAUCCUUAUUGUGGCGUGUGUGCAUCUGCGCACACACACACACUCACAUCCCACACCCUCAGAUUAAUUAAGGAUAAUGCUACUUUCCCAUUCCCUCUGCAUUCAAGUCACUGAGGCAGGUGGGUGACUGCCUUCUUAAUUUUUGAAUUCAAAUUCUAGCACAUGAAAUAUUGCCUCAGUAAUGUGUAAGUGCCCUCCCUGUUUUUUGAUACAGAAUAUUUUUCCAUUACAAGUAAUGAGUGAUCAGAGUUGCCCAAUACUGUGUAAAAUGUAAGGAAGGUCAAGUAGGCAACAAAUGCAAAAAUCUUAUCAUUUUAUCACAAAAUGCAAAACAGUCCUUAAAACUUUGGGAAUCAGAGUAGCACUACCAAUCUUGUAAGGGUUGGUUAUCUAUGGAAAGUCAGAUUAAAUUCUCUUUGAUAUGCAAUGUCCUUGACCUUUUGGAAAUACUGUUCCUCCACUGAUAAAUCUCAAGGUCCUCUUUUCAUUUACAAAUGAUCAAGGACAGGUUAGUAAUAGCACUAAAACCAACAUCCUUUGCUUUAGUCAUCAGGUAAUAUAUUUCCGGUAAUAAGCUAUGUCCUUUUAAAAUUUAAUUUAAUUAUUUUGGUUUUUGGUUUUGGUUUAUUUUUAGUAUGUAUGUAUGUAUGUAUGUAUGUAUGUAUGUAUGUAUGUAUGUAUUUUGGUUUUUCGCGACAGGAUUUCUUUGUGUAGCCCUGGCUGUCCUGGAACUCACUCUGUAGACCAGGCUGGCCUUGAACUCAGAAAUCCACCUGCCUCUGCCUCCUGAGUACGGCAAUUAAAGGCAUGCCCCACCACUGCCCGGCGCUAUGUCCUAUUUUGCUCAUUAGUUUAUUGUGUAAGGUUAUCUAAUGAUAUUGAAUCGCACUAUCAAGCUUUGAACAUAUGGUUAAAUAGAAUUUCAUUGUACUAAAAAAAAAAAAAAAGAAUUUCAUUGUACUGCUGAGCUUUCUUAGUACUUUCUCAAUAAUAGCAUUGGAAUAAUUUGACUGCUUUAAUGGGUGUUAUUAGCAAACCCUUUGAUGGUAAUUGUGGAACUGCUUUUCUUGUUCAUGGUAAGUAUAUAUGCUCUGUGUCACUGAACAGUAUGUCUUAAUGGAAAGCUGAAGUAGGAUAACUUAGAAUCAUACCACUGUUUCUUGUUUCACGUGACUUUGACCUGAUAUUUGCUGAAACAAAUGAAGUCUUUGAAAUUUAGGUUUCCUACAAAAAACAAAGGAUAGCAGUAUACUGUUCAUGUGCUCUGUUUUCUCAGUGGGCAUGUGUGUUGCUAGCCUUUGAAUCCAAAAUAUUUUUUUCAUGACUUGGUAAACAGUGUUAGUUUUGCUUGUAUUCACUUGCAAUCUCUUAAGGAUAUGCAAGAGUUAAGUUUCUAGGAAUAAUAAACUAUGAGGAUUAGACAGUCGCACACAGCUCCAGUGAGCUUUAUUUAAUGACAGAUUUGUGCCAUAGAGAGUUCUGGAAACACUGAGCAGGUUAUAAGAUGCAGAUUCCCAGGGAACAAACUUCAAGAGAGUGUGGAUUACAUGCUUAAGUCUGAUUUGUAUUUGCUUGUUUUCAUUCUUCAGUUGUUUGUUCACUUGGGGUGUUUGUUUUUAGUGCUUUGGGUUUUUUUCUUCUCAGGAUAAUGAGGUGAAUUUUAUUAGAAGCCAAUGGGUAAGGUAGUUCAUUUCUUUAGCUAAGCUGACAUGGCAGUCAGGGUCUGUUUUGUAACCACCAGGCAUCUUGGUAAGGGGAAUCUACCUUUAUUACUCCAAAUAUCUGGCUUCCUAGAACUUUGAGCUUAGCUUUAGGGAGUGUGGUGUUUGAUUCAAUAUCUUUAUAUAUAAAGGGUAUGGGCAUCAUUUUUUGACUCUACUUCCUGCUUGGGAGGGGAGCAUCAUGCCUUUGGGGUCUAGAGUGUGAUAAGGAAGGACACCUGACUGCUUAUCUCAGAAAUAUCUCUACUCAGAAAUAUGCAACAGAAGCUGUGGCGCCUGCCUUUAAUCCCAUCACUCCAUAGGCAGAGGCUGGUGGAUAUAGGAGUUCAAGGACAGCUUGAUCUACAGAGCUAAUUCUAGGACAGCCAGGGCUAAAUAUGGAAAUGCUGUCUCAUAAACAAAACCAAAAAGC
rnacentral:lncRNA from 1 species